rnacentral:rRNA from 1 species
GACGAACGCUGGCGGCGUGCUUAACACAUGCAAGUCGAACGAUGAAGCCUAGCUUGCUAGAUGGAUUAGUGGCGAACGGGUGAGUAAUACGUGAGUGACCUACCUUUGACUCUGGGAUAAGCCUGGGAAACUGGGUCUAAUACCGGAUACGACCAAUCUCCGCAUGGGGUGUUGGUGGAAAGCGUUAUGGAGUGGUUUUAGAUGGGCUCACGGCCUAUCAGCUUGUUGGUGAGGUAAUGGCUUACCAAGGCGACGACGGGUAGCCGGCCUGAGAGGGUGACCGGCCACACUGGGACUGAGACACGGCCCAGACUCCUACGGGAGGCAGCAGUGGGGAAUAUUGCACAAUGGGCGCAAGCCUGAUGCAGCGACGCCGCGUGAGGGAUGACGGCCUUCGGGUUGUAAACCUCUGUUAGCAUCGAAGAAGCGAAAGUGACGGUAGGUGCAGAGAAAGCGCCGGCUAACUACGUG